rfam:Ciona savignyi cont_33097, whole genome shotgun sequence.
GGUAGCAUGGCCGAGCGGUCUAAGGCGCUGGUUUAAGGCAACAGUCAUUUCGAUUGCGUGGGUCCGAAUCCCACUGCUGCCA